CAGCCGCCGCGGGAACACGUAGGGUGCAAGCGUUAAUCGGAAUUACUGGGCGUAAAGCGUGCGCAGGCGGUUAUAUAAGACAGAUGUGAAAUCCCCGGGCUCAACCUGGGAACUGCAUUUGUGACUGUAUAGCUAGAGUACGGCAGAGGGGGAUGGAAUUCCGCGUGUAGCAGUGAAAUGCGUAGAUAUGCGGAGGAACACCGAUGGCGAAGGCAAUCCCCUGGGCCUGUACUGACGCUCAUGCACGAAAGCGUGGGGAGCAAACAGGAUUAGAUACCCGUGUAGUCCCUGUCUCUUAUAC
rnacentral:rRNA from 1 species